CCUACGGGCGGCUGCAGUGGGGAAUAUUGGACAAUGGGGGGAACCCUGAUCCAGCCAUGCCGCGGGUGUGAAGAAGGCCCUCGGGUUGUAAAGCACUUUCAGGGAGGAAGAACGCCUGGUGGUUAAUACCCAUCAGGAAAGACAUCACUCACAGAAGAAGCACCGGCUAACUCCGUGCCAGCAGCCGCGGUAAUACGGAGGGUGCGAGCGUUAAUCGGAAUUACUGGGCGUAAAGCGCGCGUAGGUGGCUUGAUAAGCCGGUUGUGAAAGCCCCGGGCUCAACCUGGGAACGGCAUCCGGAACUGUCAAGCUAGAGUGCAGGAGAGGAAGGUAGAAUUCCCGGUGUAGCGGUGAAAUGCGUAGAGAUCGGGAGGAAUACCAGUGGCGAAGGCGGCCUUCUGGACUGACACUGACACUGAGGUGCGAAAGCGUGGGUAGCAAACAGGAUUAGAUACCCCUGUAGUC
rnacentral:rRNA from 1 species